AUGUUAAUUUGGUUUUUCUAACACAUCUCCAGCUGUACAAGGAGAAUGGGACAUGGUGGGCCACCCUGCACUGUACAAUUUUGAAAACCACUGCACUAAUGUAUUGGUCAGCUUAACUCAUCUGUUUAUCCUGUUGACAUAGCCUUCUCAGUU